AUGAACGCUAGCGACAGGCUUAACACAUGCAAGUCGAGGGGCAGCAUGAGGUAGCAAUACCUUGAUGGCGACCGGCGCACGGGUGAGUAACGCGUAUGCAACCUGCCCGAUACCGGGGUAUAGCCCAUGGAAACGUGGAUUAACACCCCAUAGUACUUUUAUCCUGCAUGGGAUGUGAGUUAAAUGUUCAAGGUAUCGGAUGGGCAUGCGUCCUAUUAGUUAGUUGGCGGGGUAACAGCCCACCAAGACGAUGAUAGGUAGGGGUUCUGAGAGGAAGGUCCCCCACAUUGGAACUGAGACACGGUCCAAACUCCUACGGGAGGCAGCAGUGAGGAAUAUUGGUCAAUGGACGUAAGUCUGAACCAGCCAAGUCGCGUGAGGGAAGACUGCCCUAUGGGUUGUAAACCUCUUUUAUAAGGGAAGAAUAAGUUCUACGUGUAGAAUGAUGCCUGUACCUUAUGAAUAAGCAUCGGCUAACUCCGUGCCAGCAGCCGCGGUAAUACGGAGGAUGCGAGCGUUAUCCGGAUUUAUUGGGUUUAAAGGGUGCGUAGGCGGUUUAUUAAGUUAGUGGUUAAAUAUUUGAGCUAAACUCAAUUGUGCCAUUAAUACUGGUAAACUGGAGUACAGACGAGGUAGGCGGAAUAAGUUAAGUAGCGGUGAAAUGCAUAGAUAUAACUUAGAACUCCGAUAGCGAAGGCAGCUUACCAGACUGUAACUGACGCUGAUGCACGAGAGCGUGGGUAGCGAACAGGAUUAGAUACCCUGGUAGUCCACGCCGUAAACGAUGCUCACUGGUUCUGUGCGAUAUAUUGUACGGGAUUAAGCGAAAGUAUUAAGUGAGCCACCUGGGGAGUACGUCGGCAACGAUGAAACUCAAAGGAAUUGACGGGGGCCCGCACAAGCGGUGGAGCAUGUGGUUUAAUUCGAAGCAACGCGAAGAACCUUACCAGGUCUUGACAUCGAUCUAAAGGCUCCAGAGAUGGAGAGAUAGCUAUAGAGAAGACAGGUGGUGCAUGGUUGUCGUCAGCUCGUGUCGUGAGAUGUUGGGUUAAGUCCCGCAACGAGCGCAACCCCUAUCUUCAGUAGCCAGCAUUCAGGAUGGGCACUCUGGAGAGACUGCCAGGGAUAACCUGGAGGAAGGUGGGGAUGACGUCAAAUCAUCAUGCCCCUUAUGACCAGGGCUACACACGUGCUACAAUGGCGUAAACAAAGGGAAGCGAGACCGCGAGGUGGAGCAAAUCCCAAAAAUAACGUCUCAGUUCGGAUUGUAGUCUGCAACUCGACUACAUGAAGCUGGAAUCGCUAGUAAUCGCGAAUCAGAAUGUCGCGGUGAAUACGUUCCCGGGCCUUGUACACACCGCCCGUCACACCAUGAGAGUCGGUAACACCCGAAGCCGGUGGCCUAACCGCAAGGAAGGAGCUGUCUAAGGUGGGACUGAUGAUUGGGGUG
rnacentral:rRNA from 1 species